rnacentral:rRNA from 1 species
AACGAACGCUGGCGGCGUGCUUAACACAUGCAAGUCGAACGCGAAAGGGACUUCGGUCCUGAGUAGAGUGGCGCACGGGUGAGUAACGCGUAGAUAAUCUGUCCUUGUGUCUGGAAUAAUACGUCGAAAGGUGUACUAAUACCGGAUAUUCUUGUUUUUCUUAAGACAGGCAAGCAAAGGUGGCCUCUGACAUAAGCUACUGCAUAAGGAGGAGUCUGCGUACCAUUAGCUAGUAGGUGGGGUAAUGGCCUACCUAGGCUACGAUGGUUAACGGUCUGAGAGGAUGAUCCGUCACACUGGCACUGGGAACACGGGCCAGACUCCUACGGGAGGCAGGCAGGUGAGGAAUAUUGCGCAAGUGGGGGACAACCCGUGACGCAGCGACGCCGCGUGAGU